rnacentral:rRNA from 1 species
GAUGAACGCUGGCGGCGUGCUUAACACAUGCAAGUCGAACGAUGAAGCCCAGCUUGCUGGGUGGAUUAGUGGCGAACGGGUGAGUAACACGUGAGUAACCUGCCCUUAACUCUGGGAUAAGCCUGGGAAACUGGGUCUAAUACCGGAUAGGAGCGUCCACCGCAUGGUGGGUGUUGGAAAGAUUUAUCGGUUUUGGAUGGACUCGCGGCCUAUCAGCUUGUUGGUGAGGUAAUGGCUCACCAAGGCGACGACGGGUAGCCGGCCUGAGUGGGUGACCGGCCGCACUGGGACUGAGACACGGCCCAGACUCCUACGGGAGGCAGCAGUGGGGAAUAUUGCACAAUGGGCGCAAGCCUGAUGCAGCGACGCCGCGUGAGGGAUGACGGCCUUCGGGUUGUAAACCUCUUUCAGUAGGGAAGAAGCGAAAGUGACGGUACCUGCAGAAGAAGCACCGGCUAACUACGUG